UACAGAGGUGGCAAGCGUUGCUCGGAAUCACUGGGCGUAAAGGGCGCGUAGGCGGGGAGGUAAGUCGGGUGUGAAAUCCCUCGGCCCAACCGAGGAACUGCGCCCGAGACUGCUUCUCUUGAGUCUCGGAGAGGAAGGUGGAAUUCCCGGUGUAGCGGUGAAAUGUGUAGAGAUCGGGAGGAACACCGGUGGCGAAGGCGGCCUCUGGACGGUGACUGACGCUGAGGCGCGAAAGCGUGGGGAGCGAACAGG
rnacentral:rRNA from 1 species